GGAGAGAUGGCCGAGCGGUCGAAGGCGCUUGAUUGGAAGUCAAGUAACAUCGCAAGGUGUUCGUGGGUUCGAAUCCCACUCUCUCCGCCA
rnacentral:tRNA from 3 species